CCCCAUCUCCCUCGGAGAGCGGACCCUCGCGCUCCUGUACCCUCCACCUGGUGGCCGUCCACCCAGCCCGGCCUGCUCGCGCGUCCCAACUGCCACUUCCCUUGCCUUCCCCAGCCUCAGGCUCCUGUGGGUCUCCCCGGCUGGGACUUCCGCAUACUCCAGGCCCACUUCACAGGGAGCUGAGGGCCUAGAGGGGUGCGGAGGCCCUGCAAGGAGAUGCUUUCCUCAAUGCCCAGUGUGAAAGGAGCAGAGGGCUGGACUGGAAGGGGCUUCCUGGCCCCAGGAGGGCAGUGAUUGGAAACAGGGUCUCACUGCGUUGCCCAGGCUGGCUCGAACUGGGUUCCAGCAAUCCUCCCGCCUCAGCCUCCGAAAAUGCUGGGAUUACAAGCAUGAGUCACCAUGCCUGGCCUGAAAACAUCUUCUCUAACACAAAGAUUUGUAUGUGAACGUUCUGUGAGGUAAAGUAGCACACCUAGGAAGCCAUGCAUGCUCGUUUCUGUUUGCAGCACAAUUUCACAAAGCCCCACCUCUGUGACCACCUGCAGCUCUCCAGAAAGAUGCUUUGAAGACAAAACGUGACGAGCACACAGUCUCCAUCCCCACACCUCUGGCUUGAGUUGCUACAUUCUCUAAAAGAUCCAUGACCCUAGCCUUGCCUUUUCCUCCUCAUAACAUCUGGUUAGUGAUGAUGCCUCUGUAAUCUAUAACCAGAUGUAUUCUUACCCAAACCUUGGUGUGACUGCCUCAGUGUAACUUCUGAGCAAGUCUGAUGUGAUUUUGCCCGUAUUGGACUCCCACAGCUCAUGUGUAGCUGUGAGCUGAAACACUAUUUUGAAGCAAUGUAAGAAAAACUCUCUAAGGAAAUAUU